rnacentral:misc_RNA from 1 species
UCUCCGUAGGUGAACCUGCGGAGGGAUCAUUACAAGUGACCCCGGUCUUACCACCGGGAUGUUCAUAACCCUUUGUUGUCCGACUCUGUUGCCUCCGGGGCGACCCUGCCUUCGGGCGGGGGCUCCGGGUGGACACUUCAAACUCUUGCGUAACUUUGCAGUCUGAGUAAACUUAAUUAAUAAAUUAAAACUUUUAACAACGGAUCUCUUGGUUCUA